GAUGAAGAACGCAGCGAAAUGCGAUAAGUAAUAUGAAUUGCAGAAUUCAGUGAAUCAUCGAAUCUUUGAACGCACAUUGCGCCCGCCAGUAUUCUGGCGGGCAUGCCUGUUCGAGCGUCAUUACAACCCUCAGGCCCCCGGGCCUGGCGUUGGGGAUCGGCGGAAGCCCCCUGCGGGCACAACGCCGUCCCCCAAAUACAGUGGCGGUCCCGCCGCAGCUUCCAUUGCGUAGUAGCUAACACCUCGCAACUGGAGAGCGGCGCGGCCACGCCGUAAAACACCCAACUUCUGAAUGUUGACCUCGAAUCAGGUAGGAAUACCCGCUGAACUUAAGCAUAUCAAUAAGCGGAGGA
rnacentral:misc_RNA from 1 species